rnacentral:rRNA from 1 species
CACGUAGGGGGCGAGCGUUGUCCGGAUUUAUUGGGCGUAAAGAGCUCGUAGGCGGCUCGGUAAGUCGGGUGUGAAAACUCAGGGCUCAACCCUGAGACGCCACUCGAUACUGCUGUGGCUAGAGUCCGGUAGGGGAGCGUGGAAUUCCUGGUGUAGCGGUGGAAUGCGCAGAUAUCAGGAGGAACACCAGCGGCGAAGGCGGCGCUCUGGGCCGGAACUGACGCUGAGGAGCGAAAGCGUGGGGAGCAAACAGG